rnacentral:misc_RNA from 1 species
AAGUCGUAACAAGGUUCCGUAGGUGAACCUGCGGAAGGAUCAUUAACACGUAUCCAACGUUAAACAACCCUGUGAACUUUCAACCCCGCCGGAAUGAGAUUAAUUUCCAACUCCGGCGAAGACAAGUGACCUGGCACCUGACCUCAUCAAAGCUCUGACAGCGUGCCUCUGGAUGCUUAAUGGAAGGGUGACGCAGUAACGAUCGCUGGAGGCCCACACGGCCGGCGACCGGGUCAGCGGCAUUCUUUAAUGCCCCUUAAAACCACUUAACAUGACGACAGUUCCUCUUUAACUUGAGUUGAGCUAUAACAAAAAACUAAUACAACUGUUAACAAUGGAUAUCUUGGUUCUC